UCUAACACUGUGACCCACCGCAGUUCCCCACAGGCUUCUCUAGCUAAUACUAAAAUGCUGAGAUUCAUAUUUGUGUAUCUAUGAGAUGUUUUCAGUCCUGGUAUGAAGCUCUAUUUAACACCACCUUAAGUGGAGAAGGAAGAAAGCUAUCCUGUAAUAUAAACAUUCUGGCAUACUUCAAGGUCUUGUCCCCAGGUUCCAAGUCAUCUGGAACAAUGGCCUUUGAUGUAGCACAGACUGCAAGAAAGAGACCUGAAGAAUCUUUAUCUGAUCUGUAAAGAUCAGCUCCCUAGAAGGCCUAUUCAUCUUCCAGCCUUCAUUUUUGUGCACAUGUCAUAUCUUUAUCUCCUCCUAACCAGCACAGAAUUCUGUCAGCUGAUGGCACAAUUACAAUUAUAUUCGGUACAAUGAAAUAAAUCUUCUUUUUGUGCUUUUCACUCUAA